AUGACCUUCAUCAUCAUCUUCAUCUGGACUCUCACAGCGUUUGCUCAAGAAUCAGCAGGUGAAGUGACAGUCACUCAGACGCCUGCAGUGAAACCUGUUCAACCAGGAGACACAGUUACUAUGUCCUGUAAAACCAGUCCUGAAGUUUACCAGGGUUACAGUUUUUUGCCUCUAUCCUGGUAUUUACAGAAACCUGGAGAAGCUCCUAAACUCCUGAUUUAUAAAGCAAACGUCCUCCAGUCAGGAACUCCAUCUAGAUUCAGUGGCAGUGGAUCUAACAGUGAUUUCACUCUGACCAUCAGUGGAGUCCAGACUAAAGAUGCUGGACAUUAUUACUGUCAGAGUUACCACUGGAUCAACAGUCAACGAGUGUUCACACAGUGA